rnacentral:rRNA from 1 species
CAGCCGCCGCGGGAAUACGUAGGUCCCGAGCGUUGUCCGGAUUUAUUGGGCGUAAAGCGAGCGCAGGCGGCUAGAUAAGUCUGAAGUUAAAGGCUGUGGCUUAACCAUAGUACGCUUUGGAAACUGUUUAACUUGAGUGCAAGAGGGGAGAGUGGAAUUCCAUGUGUAGCGGUGAAAUGCGUAGAUAUAUGGAGGAACACCGGUGGCGAAAGCGGCUCUCUGGCUUGUAACUGACGCUGAGGCUCGAAAGCGUGGGGAGCAAACAGGAUUAGAUACCCCUGUAGUCCCUGUCUCUUAUACA